rnacentral:rRNA from 1 species
GAGUUUGAUCCUGGCUCAGAAUCAACGCUGGCGGCGUGCCUAACACAUGCAAGUCGAACGCGGUUUCUUCUGCUUCGCAAGAAGUAGUUGGAACUGAGUGGCGAACGGGUGAGUAACACGUGGGUGACCUACCUUCGAGUGGGGGAUAACGUCCCGAAAGGGACGCUAAUACCGCAUGACAUCCUGCCUUUGAACAGGCGGAGAUCAAAGCUGGGGAUCGCAAGACCCGGCGCUUGAUGAGGGGCCCGCGUCCGAUUAGCUAGUUGGUGAGGUAAUGGCUCACCAAGGCAACGAUCGGUAUCCGGCCUGAGAGGGCGGACGGACACACUGGGACUGAGACACGGCCCAGACUCCUACGGGAGGCAGCAGUGGGGAAUUGUUCGCAAUGGGCGCAAGCCUGACGACGCAACGCCGCGUGGAGGAUGAAGGUCUUCGGAUUGGUAAACUCCUGUUGCCAGGGACGAAUGGCUCCGACCUAAUACGUCGGAGUAUGAC